GCGGACAUCCCGCCCCUAUCAUGGAGCGACCUGGGAUUGGCUAGCCACUGUCGAGCCGCGCCCCCCACAGGGCUCGCGCCGCGCCCCCCGACAGGGCUCGCGCCGCGCCCCCAGCGGUUAGGGUAGGUCGAUCAGUUCCUACGCUCCCGCUUGGCAAGGAGCCCUCAGAGGCCCCGACACUUGAGCCCUUCCGGAGUAAUCGCCCAGGGUCGGCGCGCGGAGAUGUGCCUCAGCCCCCGGAACUCUGAGAUCCCAGGUUCCCUGGUUAUUCUCGUUCAAGCUGCGCAGUAAGCCCAGAGAUCGGGAUCCAGGGCCAAGACAUUCUUGAGAAACCUCGGCCCGGGGCCGGCACCUCGCCAAAGCCGCUGUUGAAAAGGGGGACUGGACUCAACAGAAGUUCCAAGGAAUGAAGAGAAAAGCCUGGAAGAGCAUCUAGAAAUAAAAUAAGGACUGUCAACAGAUACUGAAGGGGUGAUAGCUUGCAGUUCAAGAGGCGAUGCUGAAGAGAGAAUGAAAUAAUCCUCUACACUUUGACCCCCUCAUUUUACAGAAGAGAAAACUAUGAGUAGCUAAGUCAGCCUAAUAGGAAGAACCCAGGUUUUCUAACUUGACUGCAUGAUCAGCCCCUUUACACACAGUGUCGGCAAACAGAAGGCAUAAAUAUGUAAAAACAGAUAAAGAAAUUGUCCACAGAAAUAAAAACAAUUUAGUUUAUAACUUUAAUUCAAUAUUUUUCAAUUAAUUAGAAACUUCCCACUUUCAUUUUCUUAAGAUGUGUAUCCUGCCUACAUUUGGGGUGACCUACAAAGCAGAAACAGAGCAAUAAAAAAUAAGACAGAAGCACAUUA